rnacentral:rRNA from 1 species
AGAGUUUGAUCAUGGCUCAGGAUGAACGCUAGCGGCAGGCCUAAUACAUGCAAGUCGAGGGGCAGCACGAGUAGCAAUACUUGGUGGCGACCGGCGCACGGGUGCGUAACACGUAUGCAAUCUACCUUUAACUGGAGAAUAGCCCGAAGAAAUUCGGAUUAAUACUCCAUAGCAUUACGAAGUAGCAUUACUUUGUAAUUAAAGCUCCGGCGGUUAAAGAUGAGCAUGCGUCCGAUUAGCUAGUUGGUGAGGUAACGGCUCACCAAGGCGACGAUCGGUAGGGGUACUGAGAGGUUACACCCCCACACUGGUACUGAGACACGGACCAGACUCCUACGGGAGGCAGCAGUAAGGAAUAUUGGACAAUGGUCGCAAGACUGAUCCAGCCAUGCCGCGUGAAGGACUGAAGGUUCUAUGAAUUGUAAACUUCUUUUGUAUGGGAAAAAACCCCUGGACGUGUCCGGGGCUGAUUGUACCAUAAGAAUAAGGGUCGGCUAACUUCGUGCCAGCAGCCGCGGUAAGACGAAGGACCCGAGCGUUAUCCGGAUUCAUUGGGUUUAAAGGGUGCGUAGGCGGACUUAUAAGUCAGUGGUGAAAUCUCCAGGCUCAACUUGGAAACUGCCAUUGAUACUGUUAGUCUUGAAUCUGGCUGAUGUGGGCGGAAUAUGACAUGUAGCGGUGAAAUGCUUAGAUAUUACAUGGAAUACCAAUUGCGAAGGCAGGUUACUAUCACUAUAUUGACGCUGAUGGACGAAAGCGUGGGGAGCGAACAGGAUUAGAUACCCUGGUAGUCC